GUCCUGUGUCACUGUCUUCCAUCGCCACCCUGCUUCUACCAGCACUACUCUGAGAAUGGCCUUGGCUCCUCUACAGUCCAGGAAGUGAGAAAAAAAGCCUUUCCCUUGAAGAAGGAUGAUAACCAGUGUGGGCCAGCAUCUCCCUGCUGAGGGCCAGAGAGUCCUGGUUUGGCACAGCAGACCAUCAACCUCAACGUGCUGCACAACUCCCUGACACAUCCAGAGCCAUCAUUUGGUCUCAUUGAAGCCCCACACUGGUGAAGGUUUUAUCACAGUCUCCUCCUACAACAUCACAAACACCAAACUGUCACCCCCGUUCUCCAAAAAGAACCUGAAGAGAUGGAUGAGCAGCUCUGUUGCCUUUCAGAAACUCAGCUUUUCACCCAAGGAAGGAACUGAUGUCACCAGUGGAAAAUCUGUGACAUUUCUGGGAGGAUCUGUGAGCCCGUGGCCACAGUAGGGCACUCCAGAGCCAUCAGAGUCUUGCCAAUAAAAACAGGAGUUGAGCUCGUUUUGGAGUGGCUGUGACCUGGAUUUACUCCCCAAAAGAUUGCACAGUGCCCAGACAAAGUGGCCAGACACACAGAGCCGAGCCACGCUGCAGGACUGCACAGGAUCCCCUGGCACACACUGCCAGGGAUGUUACCAAGAUCCUCAUGAGGGACUGUAUGGCCGUGGUGUGAAGCUCAGGACAGCGUGUUGUGCUGGCUGGUGUGAAGCAGGUGCUCACUUACUCCUCCCCAUGCUGACUAGCAUGUCAAAGUCAAGUGUGUUUGCAUGCAAGUGUCACCCACAAAAUGUGUUCUUCCUGCUUGAUCCAUCCAAUUACAUGUCUGACUUUGCCUGGACUCAGUGGAGAUUGAUAGUGCUGGGAUCAGACUGUGUUCAAGGAAUUGGAAAUCUGAUUUGAGGCAGAGGUGUGGGUUGGCUCUGAAGCUCUCAAGGUUCACAGGCCUCAC
rnacentral:lncRNA from 1 species